CCUACGGGCGGCAGCAGUAGGGAAUUUUCGGCAAUGGGGGGAACCCUGACCGAGCAACGCCGCGUGAAGGAAGAAGGAAUUCGUUCUGUAAACUUCUGUUAUACAGGAAGCAAGACGGAUGGAGGAAAUGACAUCCGAGUGACGGUACUUUAUGAGAAAGCCACGGCUAACUACGUGCCAGCAGCCGCGGUAAUACGUAGGUGGCAAGCGUUAUCCGGAAUUAUUGGGCGAAAGGGGGGAGCAGGCGGCAGCAAAGGUCUGUGGUGAAAGACUGAAGCUUAACUUCAGUAAGCCAUAGAAACCGGGCAGCUAGAGUUGAGGAGAGGUACGUGGAAUGCCAGGUGUAGCGGUGAAAUGCGUAGAUAUAGGGAAGAACACCAGUGGCGAAGGCGACAAGCUGGCCUGCAACUGACGCUCAGGCCCGAAAGCGUGGGGAGCAAAUAGGAUUAGAUACCCGGGUAGUC
rnacentral:rRNA from 1 species